rnacentral:rRNA from 1 species
CAAUAGCGUAUAUUAAAGUUGUUGCAGUUAAAAAGCUCGUAGUUGAACCUUGGGCUUGGCUGGCCGGUCCGCCUCACCGCGUGCACUGGUCCGGCCGAGCCUUUCCUUCUGGGGAACCGCAUGGCCUUCGCUGGCCGUGUCGGGGAACCAGGACUUUUACUUUGAAAAAAUUAGAGUGUUCAAAGCAGGCCUUUGCUCGAAUACAUUAGCAUGGAAUAAUAGAAUAGGACGGCCCUCCUAUUUUGUUGGUUUCUAGGGGAGCCGUAAUGAUUAACAGGGACAGUCGGGGGCAUCGGUAUUCAAUUGUCAGAGGUGAAAUUCUUGGAUUUAUUGAAGACCAACUACUGCGAAAGCAUUUGCCAAGGAUGUUUUCAUUAA